rnacentral:rRNA from 1 species
AACGGCCCACCUAGCCUACGAUGGAUAGGGGUUCUGAGAGGAAGGUCCCCCACAUUGGAACUGAGACACGGUCCAAACUCCUACGGGAGGCAGCAGUGAGGAAUAUUGGUCAAUGGACGAGAGUCUGAACCAGCCAAGUAGCGUGAAGGAUGAAGGUCCUACGGAUUGUAAACUUCUUUUAUAAGGGAAUAAACCCUCCCACGUGUGGGAGCUUGUAUGUGCCUUAUGAAUAAGCAUCGGCUAACUCCGUGCCAGCAGCCGCGGUAAUACGGAGGAUGCGAGCGUUAUCCGGAUUUAUUGGGUUUAAAGGGAGCGCA